AUUAUACUACCUUCGUCCCAAAAUUCUUGUAUAAGAUUUAUCUAGAUACGUAUGUAUCUAACACUAAAACGUAACUAGAUACAUCCAUAAUUAGAGAAAUCUAAGACAAGAAUUUUGGGACGGAGGAAGUAUUAA
rfam:Hordeum vulgare subsp. vulgare, WGS project CAJW01000000 data, contig: morex_contig_368855